UACGUAGGGGGCAAGCGUUGUCCGGAAUUACUGGGCGUAAAGCGUGCGCAGGCGGUUCGUUGUGUCGGUGGUGAAAGCCCCGGGCUUAACCUGGGAAUGGCCAUGGAAACUGGCGAACUGGAGUGUGGCAGAGGGGGGUGGAAUUCCGCGUGUAGCAGUGAAAUGCGUAGAGAUGCGGAGGAACACCGAUGGCGAAGGCAGCCCCCUGGGCUAGCACUGACGCUCAGGCACGAAAGCGUGGGGAGCAAACAGG
rnacentral:rRNA from 1 species